UACGUAGGGCGCAAGCGUUAUCCGGAAUUAUUGGGCGUAAAGGGCUCGUAGGCGGUUUGUCGCGUCGGGAGUGAAAACUCAGGGCUUAACCCUGAGCCUGCUUCCGAUACGGGCAGACUAGAGGUAUGCAGGGGAGAACGGAAUUCCUGGUGUAGCGGUGAAAUGCGCAGAGUACUCAGGAGGAACACCGGUGGCGAAGGCGGAUUC
rnacentral:rRNA from 1 species